rnacentral:rRNA from 1 species
UACGGAGGGUGCAAGCGUUAUCCGGAUUCACUGGGUUUAAAGGGUGCGUAGGUGGGCAGUUAAGUCAGUGGUGAAAUCUCCGGGCUUAACCCGGAAACUGCCAUUGAUACUAUCUGUCUUGAAUAUCGUGGAGGUAAGCGGAAUAUGUCAUGUAGCGGUGAAAUGCUUAGAUAUGACAUAGAACACCAAUUGCGAAGGCAGCUCACUACACAAUCAUUGACUCUGAGGCACGAAAGCGUGGGGAUCAAACAGG